UUUUUUUUUCUUAAAUAUCACCUGGGAGUGUGUUGGAAAUGGACAAUCUCAGCGCUCAUCCCAGACCUACUGAAUCAGAAUCAGCACUUUAACACAGUCCCUAAGUGAUGUAACACCUGGAGACCGACUCCCUGGACCCUGAGAAGCUAUUGCAAUGCCCCUAUGACAAAAACCAUCAAAUCAGGGCUUGCAGGUUUCCUUAUCAUCUUAUCAAGUGCAGAAAGGUAGGGUCAUAAUUUGCCCUCUAACACCCUCCUGAGUUCUUUUAAAAGGCCAUAUUUUAUAAAUAUCAAAUAAUUUUAUCAUGUUUUAAUUGAUUGCCAGAAUUGUUUUGGGAAUCUACCUCUCUUAAAUACCAACAUUUAUAGAAAGGCAUUUGUUCAUUCCUUAGGAUAAAUUUUUUCUUGUUUUGGUUUUCUUCCCAUUAACUAGUGACAAAGAACCCUUUAUAAACAGCAUCUCUAGAGUCUUCUCACCCUUUGUAAAACAGACUAAUUUUGGCUAACAAUGAGAAAUCCUGCCUAUCUUCUAAAUUUGAUGUAUUCAUGAGCCUAACAAUGAUUGAGUGCUAUAACUCACUUUUUCUGAUUAUUU
rnacentral:lncRNA from 1 species